rnacentral:sRNA from 13 species
UUUCGAAGCGAGUUAUGCGCCUUCAAAGUUGGAGGUGAGAGAGUGAGAGACGGCAGAGAAAGAGACAGUCGUUUUUUCUGCGUCUCUCAUUCUCGCACCUCCAAAUUUAAAGGCGCAUAACUUGCUUCAAAU